CCGCCGACCUCCAAGGGACGUGCGACGGAGUCCCGGGAGCGACGGUUACCAACAAACAAGCCUCCAUCGCACCGCAUGAAUUUUCACGCGGCCCUAUCACGGGAGAGAACGCUGAGCGUAACAAC
rfam:Corynebacterium resistens DSM 45100, complete genome.